UACGUAGGGUGCAAGCGUUAAUCGGAAUUACUGGGCGUAAAGCGUGCGCAGGCGGUUUUGUAAGUCUGUCGUGAAAUCCCCGGGCUUAACCUGGGAAUGGCGAUGGAGACUGCAAGGCUAGAGUUUGGCAGAGGGGGGUAGAAUUCCACGUGUAGCAGUGAAAUGCGUAGAGAUGUGGAGGAACACCGAGGGCGAAGGCAGCCCCCUGGGUCAAAACUGACGCUCAUGCACGAAAGCGUGGGGAGCAAACAGG
rnacentral:rRNA from 1 species